UACCAGCACCCCGAGUGGUCGGGACGAUUAUUGGGCCUAAAGCAUCCGUAGCCGGUUCUGCAAGUCCCCGUUAAAUCCAGCUGCUCAACAGAUGGGCCGCGGAGGAUACUAUAGAGCUAGGAGGCGGGAGAGGCAAGCGGUACCCGAUGGGUAGGGGUAAAAUCCGUUGAUCCAUUGAAGACCACCAGUGGCGAAGGCGGCUUGCCAGAACGCGCUCGACGGUGAGGGAUGAAAGCUGGGGGAGCAACCGG
rnacentral:rRNA from 1 species